ACUCCUCGGGAGGCAGCAGUGGGGAAUAUUGCACAAUGGGCGCAAGCCUGAUGCAGCCAUGCCGCGUGUAUGAAGAAGGCCUUCGGGUUGUAAAGUACUUUCAGCAGUGAGGAAGGUGGGUAUGUUAAUAGCAUAUUCAUUUGACGUUAGCUGCAGAAGAAGCACCGGCUAACUCCGUGCCAGCAGCCGCGGUAAUACGGAGGGUGCGAGCGUUAAUCGGAAUUACUGGGCGUAAAGCGCAUGCAGGUGGUUUGUUAAGUCAGAUGUGAAAGCCCGGGGCUCAACCUCGGAAUUGCAUUUGAAACUGGCAAACUAGAGUACUGUAGAGGGGGGUAGAAUUUCAGGUGUAGCGGUGAAAUGCGUAGAGAUCUGAAGGAAUACCGGUGGCGAAGGCGGCCCCCUGGACAGAUACUGACACUCAGAUGCGAAAGCGUGGGGAGCAAACAGGAUUAGAUACCCUGGUAGGCUCUAGC
rnacentral:rRNA from 1 species